rnacentral:SRP_RNA from 1 species
GCCAGGCGCGGUGGCGCACCCCUGUAGUCCCAGCUACUCGGGAGGCUGAGGCGGGAGGAUCGCUUGAGCCCAGGAGUUCUGGGCUGUAGUGUGCUACGCCAAUCGGGUGUCCGCACUAAGUUCGGCAUCAAUAUGGUGACCUCCCGGGAGCAGGGGACCACCAGGUUGCCUAAGGAGGGGUGAACCAGCCCAGGUCAGAACCGGAGCAGGUCAAAAUUCCCGUGCUGAUAAAGAUUUUGAAUCUAAAAUACAUAAACACUUCUGAAACUCAGUAAUAAGAAAGCAAACAAUCUAAU